CUCGCUUGUUCUUUAAAUUCAUCAGUCCGCGUUGUUCGUCUUCACCACCUCUCCCUUUCUUCUCGGACGCCACCGCUCCGUCGCAGACGCGAGAAAACUAGUGGCCAUGGAUCCCCCGUCCGCUCAGGUGAUGUCGGCGACCGACGACUUCCAGGACAAGACCGUCGACGAGUGGUAAGGGGUUGCACUGCUUGCUCAAAUCCGUGCUCGUCUUGUUCGCGUCCAUCCUUCUCUGCUUUUCUCCCUGAAUCCACCAUCCGCCGUAUGCUUGGGCUGCAGUUGCUCGUGCUGCUACGACUGCUGCUCCAGCAUCCUCGACUUCCUGUGCUGCUCGUCCUGAUCGACCGGUGCGGGCUCCUCCCCGGCCCUGCCUCGGCGUUGCUCGCUGGUCUUGGGUUCUAGAUGUCCUGGAGUUCUUGGAUUCUUUAGGUCCUUCGGUGAUGAUACUUGUAAGCUCGACUCUGUUCAUCAACAUCAGUAAGGAAGCUUGGAUCGAUUUCCUUUUUAGAAAUUUUAAUGUUCGUGUUUGCAGAUCGAUUAGCUGUUCGGAGCUCGUACAGCAUCUCCGAAAGAAAUAGCUCUCAAAUCAGACUCUCUGCCUCUCUCUCUCUACCUCUCUCUGCAUUAAUUUUUUAACGUCAAUUCUAGCAGUGAUCUCUAAAUCUCACUUUAAAUUAAAAAGGUGAGACUCAUUUAUCAGUUGACAGAGGCAGAGACGCUCCAGAAAUAGAGGGUGGAGGAAGAGAUUUGAAGAUCUUUCCAAAAUAGCAGAUUUAGUAGAGGACGUGUAGGAGUGUAAUUUUUUUAUUCCAGCUUCAAAUUUGACACGAGGGUUUACUGAGAGGGUCUAGUUGCUCUUAGCAAAAGUUUUUUUUAUAAAAAAUAAGUUCUUACAUUUGGGGUGUGUUCGUUUCCUACCCUCUAAAUUUUAGACCCAUCACAUCAAAAAGAAUCUUGUCAUUUAGAAGUAUUAAAUAAAGUCUAAUUAUAAAACUUUUUGCACAGAUGGAUGCUAAUUCACGAGACAAAUUUAAUGAGCCUAAUUAAUCCAUAAUUUGCCACAGUGAUGCUACAGUAAUCAUCCGCUAAUCAUGGAUUAAUAUACCUCAUUAGAUUCGUCUCGCGAAUUAGCCCUGGGGUUCUGCAAUUAGUUUUAUAAUUAGACUUUAUUUAAUACUUCUAAAUGAUAAGAUUCUCUAUGAUGUGACUCCUCCAAACUUUAGAGCAGGAAACAAACACACCUUGGUUCUGCGUUUUCUUGUGCACUGACCACUGAACCAGAAGUCCAUGACGUGAUGUGAAUGUGACGUGUGAUGGUCAAUAUGGGCAUCCUGCAUCCUGGUGUUUGGCAGUUUGCUACCGUGAGGUGGAAAGCUGAAUUGGACCACACCAUGACACCACGCCCUCCUUUUCCGUUCGCAUUUUCUGUUUCGCUGGGACGUCGACUGCAGGGCGACAACGAGACCUUUAAGGCAGCUCAUUUAGCUGCAUUUUUCCGUUUCUAGUUGUGAUGAUGAUACCGAUUUGGAUUUUUGUAUUAUUAUAACACUACUAAUGACAUGAUACCAAAAUGAUCGGUUUAGUAAGAGUUCGUUUGUGCCAAUAAUAUAGUAGCAAUACGAUUAUCAGCUAACCUACAUAACAAUGGACUAUUGAUAGCUGUAACUCGCACUGGC
rnacentral:lncRNA from 1 species